rnacentral:ncRNA from 1 species
UUAUUUUAUUUUUUUGUCCAAAUAUGAAUGAAGGGAUAUAAAUCUGGCUAUAUGCUGGAACAACUCGAGUAUCCGACAGUAGUUUAGUGAAAACUGAACUGAAAAUCUGAUCGGUGGAGUAAAUCAGCAGGGAAGACCCCGCUUAGCGGGGAACCCUCAACGACUAUACGCCAGAAGCCGCGAAGCUAGAAUUAGCGAAGUGGUUAAGAUAUAGUCUGAUCUCUAUGGUGACAUAGAG